UUUUUUUUUUUUGUACAAGUUCUUGCCUGCUUUUCUAAUUUUUUCAAUUUCUUGUCAUUAUUUCCCUGAUGGUCUACCUGUUUGAGUCAUUAUUGUUAUGCAACCUUGUGUCAUUAGGUUUGUUCCAUGCAUUUUUUGAUAAAGCGUCUACUCACUAAAAGGAAGUAAUAAGCUUAUUUUUGGAAAACUCAUGCUUUGGGUUUAUAGUUUCUCUCUUGUUUACUUCAUUUGCGACCCCUACCCCCUUCAAUUGCAAUUUGGCAUUGUGCAUUUUAAGAUACUUAAUUUUGAAUAUUGUCAAGAGUCAGACUUAUAAGGUUGGAGGGCUAACUAACUAAUUGGUUAGUUCUAACCUCUUAACAAUGGUUAGUUCAAGCCCAAAUGAGCCCAUCUUACUCUUUAUAGACUCUUGCUUUGGCCUAUUCAUUCACCUUCGCCUGUUCAAUUCAAGUUUGUGAUAUGAUAUCAGAGCGGGUCUGGCCUGGUUCAAUUCAAGUGUCAAGGCUCUCGGUGUUGCCAAUACAUUAAAGUUCAAAGUUUUAGGGAGAGAAUUUUAAGUUUCAAGUGUCAACCA
rnacentral:misc_RNA from 1 species